rnacentral:lncRNA from 1 species
CCCUACAAAUGGUAUCAGAGCCCAGUAAUUUAAAAAAUACAGCCGUAGUAGAUAUGUUUGAAUUUAUGUUUGAAUAUAGAUUAAAUUAAUUAUGAGAAGACCAUUUAGAAACAGAGAAACUUUUAGAAAAAUUAAAGAAUCUUUAAUUAGUAAUUAUUCAGAAUAUAUAAGUCUAAAUAAAAUAAAAGAAAACCCACAA